rnacentral:lncRNA from 1 species
GGAACUGCAGCAUCUGAAAUUGCUGUAGGUGCUUGCUAGGCGAAAUGCACCUGAUCUCUAAAAUCUAUAUUCAUUUAGUGAAGACAAGGACUCAUGGCAGCUUGAGUGACAGUGCACAGUUUAAUAUAUUAAGCUUAGAAUAUUUCAAAAAUUGGAUAUUGAAGAUGAGCUUGAUUUUUCAUUUCCAUUUUAAAAGAAGGGUUAAUUUGUGAAGUUACAUUUGUUUCUUUACCUGUGUUAUUAGGUUAGUGCAUACACGUGCUUUCAGAUAUCUAGUCACUCUAGAACGAAGACCUUACACACUUUGCAAAGUGUUUUCCUUGACAGCUUAUGUGUAAUUUUUCAAAGGCAAAAGUGAUGUGCUGAAUAUUAUGCUUAUUUAGAAACCUAAUAGAACAUGAAGAAUAUAAAGAAGAAAUUGGAAGGACUUUUUUUUUUUUUUUUUUAACUAGAAACUCAAUCUUAAGUAAGCUUUUUCCUGACCACAUCAGUACGCUGAGUUACUGAAUUCUGACAGAAUCAGAAGAUUGCUAUAGGGAUUCUUCUUUGUCACUGCUCCUUCUAGAAAGUGUCUUGAGAUUUUCUGUUUUAAUUGUUUGAAAGCGUAGCUGAAUGGAAGGGAAUAGUGAAUGCUACCCAUCUGCAAAGUUUGCAGUAAUCCUUCCCCAGUCAUGUGUUUGAGUAAAGAGAUGUCUUACAUAAGUGUAUGGAGGCAGAAGACGCAGUAAUUUAGAAAAUUAUUUUAGGUCAGGAAAACAAUUUUCUUAACAAAAACCUUCAGUAAUGUGAAAAAGUACCCCCCUGUGUUAAUUAGAACAUGUCAGGCUGAUAAACUUUCUUUUUAUUUCAAAGGCUCAGCUCUGUAUUACAGCCAUCCCUUUGCUGUGUCAUCUUCAGUGGCUGUUUUGGUAGGUGAAAGCAAGGGCUCUGUAACUGCCACUUCACAGCUGGUAUAGAACAACAGGCUCAAACUGUCACUGUACAAUUAAGGACAUUUGUUUGAAAGACAUUUCCCUAUCAAAAUGAUAAUUUCUAAUUCUUGAAUCACCACAGAAAAUAAAGGUAAAUACGUAAGACUGAGGGGAGACCUUAUUGCUCUCUUCCAAUAACUGAAAUGUGAUUGCAGUGAUAGGGGGUUGGUCUCUUCUCACUGGUGACAGGUGACAGGACAAGGGGAAAUGGCCUCAAGUUGUGCCGGAGAAAGUUUAGGUUGGAUAUCAGGAAAAACUUAUUUUUAGAAAAGGUUGUUAAGCACUGGAAUAGGCUCCCCAGGGAGGUGGUUGAGUCACCAUCCCUGGAUGUGUUUAAAAACCGUUUGGAUGUGGUGCUCAGGGACAUGAUUUAGCGGAGGGUUGUUAGAGUUAGGGUAGUAUGGUUAGGUCGUGGUUGGACUUGAUGAUCUUUGAGGUCUUUUCCAACCUGAACAACUCUGUGAUUCUGUGAGAAGCCUAUGGAAGUGGUGGGGGCAAAAGCUGAGAAGAAAGUCUCUGAAGAAGAUAAAGAAAAACAUUUAGGCAUGGUGCUACUGCAGCUGUCGCAGUGUCAUGUUUAUUCAUGUUCAUAGAAUGAAAAUAACUGGUUUACUCCUACUUAUGUGAUGCUCUAAAAUGCACUGGAAUUGCACUGUCAGACAAUUCUUUCACUCAGUCUGAUCUUCCAACUACAAAUGAUUGUAAUGUAAAAUGGAGCAAACCUUCAAGGUCACACAAUUAUUAUAAGGGUAUAUUUGAAAGUCUUCAAAGUGUUCAAAGUUGGUGUUCAAAAUCAUCUGUUGAGUAGUUUUUAAAGAUGUAAAAAUAAGAAAUGAAUGUGUAUGUCUGCAUAUAGGCUUAUCUGUGGAUUUCUGAUGAGUGCUUGAUUGUGGGAAUUUUAACCUGACAGCAGUUUUCAUCUUCACUUACCUACUUCCAGCGUGGAAUACUCUAUCAUAAAAAACAGACUACGUUCAAGUAUAUUCAUAGCAAUUGUAGGGGAAUGCACUUCAUGGUUUUAUAGUGAGGCGUUUGACUUCACAAAGCAACUGAAUUGUUUCACAUACUUCCUUUCAGCAUCUACGUAACUUGAUUCAGUAGUAAUCAUCAGUAAGAGGAAUAGCACUCUCUUGAGAUGUGAAGAUUUGGUUGUAAGUCAUAGUUUUCUAGUGCUUCACUGCAGAAGCUAGGAAUGUCGAACUGUAUGUAUUAUUUUUGUUUAAUUGCCUGGAAGUGUCCAGCAUUGUUACAGUAAAUCACAAAUAACAUGACUUAGCAGCAGUACUUCUUGUUCAGGUGAAUGCUUCAAGACUAGUCUAGUGAAAAUCUCUUUCCCUAAAAAAUCUGUAGGUGGCUGUUCAAGCUCCAAGGCUGACCACUUGCUUCUUGGACAACAUAAGGAUUUUGCACAGACCAGUCAGCAUGCAUUCUUGCAUUAGUUUAUGUUCUUCCUCUGUUUUUUUACAGUCUCUCAAGUUUGAUAAGAACUCCUAAAACAUCCUGGAUGCUUUAGUACCUUUGGAGAAAUUAUGUGCAGGCUCAAGGGGAGGAAGUGAAACAGGAAGACAGACGUGAGAUGGGCAGGAGGCAUUCUUUGGGUGGCAGAACAGACAGCCUGCCAUUGGGCAUGAAAAAUCAUUCUUGACCCUUGCCUCCUCUUCCUGUUGUCAGAGUUGAGGAUAAGGUUGGUUAGGGUGGUUGGGAGUAAAGCAAGGUUAAUGCGUCUGGAAUUUAUAUAACUAUUUCGUACACUGUUGAGAAAAACACCUUACUCUGAAGCCUAGAUUCUGCUCCUAGAGCAAUUCAGUGUUGAAUUACUUAAUGUGAAAGCCAUACAUUUUUGGUCCAUGUCCACAAAGGUAAUCAGUUCUCUUUUGAUUUCGGUAUUAGGUGAUUUGGCUUUCAACCUUUCUGCACUUCACAUCUUGAACUCCACAGCAUGUUAAGUUUUUCACACUUCAGAGCAGUCAUAAAAAAGAAAUAUGUCAAAUCUAUAAAAAUUCAAAUAAUGAAGUGUGAACAAGGCCCCAGUAAUAUUUUGCAGAAAGGUUAAGAGAGAGUGGUUGUAGAAGAAAAAAGGGCACUGAUAAAAUGUUGUAAAUGUAAUAAACAGAAAGGAAGAAAAGCACUCUGAAAAUUUGAGAGGUUCUGCCUGUAGGAAACUGUAACUUUUGGAGUUUAUUUGGAUAAGCGUUUCACAGAACGCUGCAGUAAUUAUGACUUCCAAGACUGAAGAGAUAAUAGCAAACCUGAAUCCAGCUCAUAGGAUGGUCCUUCCAUGAAUAUAAUUGAAGCCUUUGCCUCAGUAAGAGUAGGCCAGUUGACCCAAUUUAGCAAAACAUCCGUCCCCUGAUGCAUAAAGCUGCAGGUAUUUUUCUGUUGGCAGAACAUUAGAAAUUGUGAUUGAGAGUGAAUGUGCCAAAUUUGAGAGUCUAAAUCCUUUGGAAAGACCCAGCACAUCAGGAAGGGUCUUGCAAAUGGGUCAGCAAACAGUUGCAAUGGACAAAACUGUAAUUAUUGUCAUAAAGAUUUGUGCUAAAAAGCAGAAAGUGAUUAUUUCUGAGCUUAUAGGCAAGAAAAAAAAAGAUGCAAGUUACCUCCUUAGGGGCACUUCUGUCAUCUAAAAAUAUUAAUUCCUGGAUGUAACCCCUUUUCCUCAUUGGUUGUUAAUUUUCAAGAAGUACCCUGUGCCAAUAAUCACUCCUUAAAUUAAAAAUAAAUACAUAAAUAGCUUAAGCUAAGAAUCAGCAUUGAUCCUUAUGAGUUAUGGUGGUGGUAAGAGAGUAGUUUUGUUUCUCAACAAAUUUAAACUUUAACAUAGGGAUUUUUCUUCUGUUUUAUUUUCUCUAGAAGAUGUGUUAAAGUAAGUAAUGGAUGAAUUACUCUAAUCCAAAUGAACGAAAGGAGGGCUGACCCUUACUCCUUACUCCCCUCCCCUCUGUAUUAAUUUGACUGUUUCAAAGCAGACAUGCCCUUGGCUUUAUUUGGCUUUUGGUUUUAGCAACUAAUCUGCUGUGAAGUUGGCCUGUCACUCUUCAAAGUAUUCCAUAUCCCAUCAGUUUUGCUCUUAUAUAAUGAUGCAGGACCCAAAUUAUAACAUUCGUGAGUGAGAAGGGUACAAAGACUUGUGUUUUGUUUUGAAGUGCUGUGUCAUGGUUACUGAGCAGAUAUAGCAUUUUUGUAGGCAAUGAGAACAAGGUAUCCCAUGAAAAUAUAUGCCAUAUUCAUAUUUGUUAGGUUUGUGACUGCUUUCUUCUGCUUCCAUUAUAUAUGAAAACAUGUUUAUGCUUAGUCUUGCAGUUUAGAGCAGAGGAUACCAUAAUAGGAAUGAUAUGUUGAGAUUUAACUGAUCUAUGGAUUGUACUACAAUAAAGCAAUAAUUCAUCUCCCCUAUGAUUGUUCUAAUUUUUAAUUCAGCUGUGGCAUUCUGUACCAUGCUGUUUAUCUUGAUUUUUCAUUCACUCAUUUAUCUGAUAGUUGUGAAAUUGGCAGAUGGUUUGUGAUGCUUUGCUGGGAGUGGGUGUACCAAUCCCUGUGAUUAAAAGGCUUGCUGAUUUGCUUACCCGAAAGGAUUAAUGGCAGGCAGAAAGGGCUUUGUUUGAAAAAUCCAUGCCCCAUAACUCAACAAGGGGACAAAAAUGUAGACUGGAAGUAAUCCAGUAUUACAACUGCUUUAUGGGGAAGCUUUGUACAAAACUUACUGACUCAGCAGCUGGACAUUUCCUGAUGAGAUCUGAACUAUCAAGUAAAAUGCAGCUUCACACUGUUUUCUCAGUCAUUCCAUGGGAGUAAAGUUCAAGUUUUUAAGCAGGUCAGCAAAAGAACUGAAUGACAUGUGAAACUUUGGAGGGCUGCCCUGCAUAGCUUGCUUCUGAAAGCUAUGCAUGAAAUCUGACCUUGACCCUUCCUUCCUACCUAUGCAAUUCAAGAAUUCAAAAUUUUUGCUUUCAUUUCUUUUGCAAAUUUAGGUGGAGUAAGGUACACCAGAGCUUAGAUGACAGACACCUAUCUCCACAGACCAAAGUGCUUCUCUGCAUGCAAAAAUAUCUAUUUUGUGCCCAAGAAGUUGAAAUGGAGGUAUUUACUUUGCAUUUCUUAGUGUUUUAGUACUGUACUGCAUAGUACUAAGAGUAAGCAGUCUAUGCAUGUCUAUAUUAUAAUCCUAACAGGCUGUGGGCAAUUAAGAAAUCUUUUCUCAAAACAAAUGGCAUUCCUUGCAUUUUUUACAUAAUUGCAUUAUCCUGACUUUGGCAUCCUUUGUAAGUUUCAGGUAUUAUUGCAUGCAGAUUGAACCAGCUCCAUUUGCUUGCAGUUGUUCCUUGUAAUAACUUUUCAUUUUUUAUGUUGGUUAUGUGGGCGGAAACUUCAGCCUUACCAGUGUAGUAACUGUUGCAGGGAAAAUGAGAAUCACCUUGUAAGGGAUUAAUUCUACGUCUCCUUGAAUCUCUUUCUGAUUUCUGUCCUGUAGAUCAAGAGUUGGUCUUUUAUCUUAGCUAAUCCUCUCGGAGUUGCAGACAGCUUUCCAGCCUUAGAUCAGCCACAGACUCUCACAAGGUUUAAUUUAUCUUCUGUCCUCAAGCUUAAAGCAUACACAUUUUAAAUAACAAACAUGUUGGUCUUACCUGAGGUAUGACUCUCUACUGUUGCAAGCAAUACGCUUUCACAGUUAGCUUUCUCUGCAUGAUUACUGACAAAAAGACAUUGAGAAUACCAAAAAUCUGCUUCUAUCAGAUGAUUCUCUGCAGGUUUUCCAGCAGCCAUUCCCUAAAAUACUGUGUGGUUUUGAUUGCUAGCAGUUGUCUUCCAUAUGUUUGGAUACUUUAAUCUUUCCUGCUCAGAUUAUUUUCUGUAAUUUAAUUUCCUUCCUGGUGCUAGAUGCUGCUCAGAAAUCACUUUGGACCACAGCGCUUGGGAGAAAGACCCUAAUUUAUGAAUGUAUUUUCAGUCACUUCUGCUUAACGUAUAAUAUACUUCUUCAUGAGCACUUUCUAAGUAUUCCAAAGAAUGAACAAAAUCAUUCAGAACUCUGUUUUUUCUGUCAUUACUGUUGAUAUCAGCCAAGUUAGUCAAUGGUGUUCUUUUCUACAGAAUCUGAGAUCCAGCUGGAAAGCCUGGCUAAUAGACCAAAGAUAAAAUUUUCAGACAGACCCAAAUAACCUAACGUCCUACCUACAAAUGAGUUUAAUAAAAAAUACUUAGAACUCUGAAUUUUAUUGAAAGUACUCAUGCAUUCUUUUGCGUUCUUUUCUUUGCUAGAUAUAAAUCCUGGGAUUUUAAAUGUGCAUAUUUUCCAUAUUGUCUCAGCAUUCUCGGGAGACGCUGUGUGUAAUCUGGUUUUAAUUAGAUUUGUGUUAAAGGGAGACAGUCUUUAUCCUAUGUGAACAACUAGACAUAUGUUGAAUAUUUUAAGAGCAGUCUCUGACUGCUAUAAUUGUGUAUGUGAUUAUUUAUGAUCUUUUUUCCAAGUUAUAAAAAACCAACCAAAAUUAGCCUAGUGCAACUGAGGCAUGACACUGAUAUUGUUCUGCUCUCAGGUAAUAGAUGGGAAUAAACUACUGACCCCUAAAUGUUUAUCUGGAGUGAAUGAUCUUAAGGUGCUCAUUUACCUAAAAUUCAGUGGCAGAGGAUAGCUUCACCAAUCAAAUAAUUUUCCUUUCACCAAAUUCCUCCAUAUUUAGAUGGAGUACUUUCUACUAGACAUUUACUUUAGAUAUUUUUUUUCCAGAACUUCUGCUUUGGCUAAAAAUGAAUAGCUUAAUGGGGGAAAAAAUGUCCUAUGCAUGAUCUGUGAAUAAUUAAAGACAAGUAAGGGCAGUAAAUUCUUUUCUGCACAUAUUUUUGAUGCGUGUGCAAGGUGCUGCUCGAGGAUUAGGAAAAUUGAUUAGUACAAAAGUAAACUCAUUCUACUUUGAUAAUCCUUGUAAAACUAUAGGAUGCAGCCAGUAUAACAUUUUUUUCUAGGCUUUUUUUUUUUUUUUUUUUUAAUGAAAAAUGUUCUUUUCCAAUUUUCAGGUAUACAUCUAAUGAAGACCUGUACAAUGUCCAGAAAGAAUUCUUAAGUAGGUUAUAUUCUUGAUUUUAGUCAUAGAGCAUAUUCUUUAAGCUUGCAGAAAAUAUCCCUUUCAAAAGUCUAAUGUUCCUGGUGACUUAGUGAAUAACUGUAUUUUAACAAUGUACAUACUCUGUAAUUAUCAGGCCCUUUUGCUGGGACCAUACAAUGAUACCUUGUUUUAGCGUGCUAUUUCCAUUGUAUAAUGUAUAAAAGACUCAACACUUUACUUCCCUAUGCUGAAUAAAUAUUCACCCUAAUAUAAAAAUAAAUAUGUUCCCUAGAGUGUAAAUAGUAUACUACUGGGGUGUGCUGACUGGCAUAAGUGAUAAAGUUAGAUGACAGAAAAAAAUGGAACUGCUGUCUUGUAAAGGCCUUGACUAAAGGAGGAGGUAAAGAGGCUGAAUCUUACACACCCUGCUUUCUCCAAGAUUAGCAUUAAGUUUCAUUAUCCUCUCCACAGAGUUCUGGUCUUCCACAAUUUAAGCCUUAUUGAAAUUAAGCCUUAUUCAAAGCCAGAUUGCAGGUGAGGAAGAAAGUAGGAAUCAUAAUGAGGUAAAUUCAGAGGCAGCAGUUACAGAGGUGAAUUAAGACAUGGUUUCAUUCAACAAUAACGUAGCGUCUUCUGAACACUUUUUUAUAUCUUUAAGAUGUUUCAAAUAAAACAAUGGAAAAUGUGUAUGUACACAUAAUCACAUGGAUGUGAAGCUGGCAAUUCUACAUUAGUUUAUUUCACAUCUGAGGUUUCAAAUUCAACAUGAAUUUCUAUACUGUGUUUUCCAGUAUUUCAGUGUAAGUAGUGUUUAGUGAGUGUCUGGUAUAUUUCAGUAUCUCGAAAAACAACUAAUGUACCUAAGGAGGAGCCUGUAAUCUGAAGUGAAAUUGUCUUUGCCUAGUGUUAUUUUUUUUUUUCCACAAAAAAAACCCCAAAACGCAAGUAUUGAAAAAACACUGUAAAAAUAAUUUUAAGCAGCAGAAUAUUUGGAAGUAUCAUAAGGAAAAGGAAAUUCUAGAUACAUUAUUAGUAAUUAUCUUACUGUAUCACUCAAUAUUUUCAAUGAAGAAUAGAUCAUAGCAAUCAAUGUAAACAGGCAAAAGAGAUCACACAGAGCAGUUCACAGUCUAAAGAUUAAAAACAGAUUGGAGCUAGAAAAAGAAAAAAGAACUUAUAAGAAAUGAAUGGGGGCAAAAAAAAUGACCUAAUUUUCUUCUGUAUGUAUAUUUGUUCUAUUUCCUGACUUUAAUUAAGUUCUGGAUAUAAUUUUCUUUGUUAUAUUUUUUUACAUUUAUUGUACUUGUAUUUAAAAAAAAAAAAAAGAAUAUGUCUUGCAACUUGCUUUGAGAGUUAUUUGAACACGUGAUUCAGAAUAGGUCAACAUACUGUAGCACACAGCUGUAUUUUUCCAUUUGCAUGAUAGUUUUUUCUGAGAUGAAAGUUUGGUUCUCUCUUGCCAUGUUCCUUGUACAAUAACUUAAUGUGAUGUCCAUAAUGAAGUAGUCUUUGAUGACUUUUCUUGGGAUGGAACGAGCCUUAGGCUAUAAAACAUGCCAGCCAGAUGCUUUUUUUUUCAAGUGCCUUCAAAAAUCUUAAAAAACAAACAAAACAAAACAAAAUAAAAGCCGACAACAUACCAACCAAACUGAACCCCAGAUUUAGUUCUUCAAAUUGGUUAUUCAGAAAGAUGAAAUGGGACUAGAUUUGAAAAAUGGAUAUUUUGCGUGUAUUUCAGCCAAUUUUUUUCACCAGUUGACAGUAAUCAAAAGACAGAACACCACUCCACUUACCAGUGAGAUUCUGAAGAUACGUCUAGGAAGAAUCUUCCAAAUAGAGGCUGAAGCAAACGUGUAAGCAAACAAGAAAUAAGAUGAAUCUCUCUUUUUUUCUGCAUGUGAGAUUCUGAUUACAGAUUUAUUCAACUCUAUUUGUGAAAACAGCUCUGUAGAUUUUUGCCAUGGUAUGAAAUAGUAGAUUUCAGUAAAACAAGAAGUUUGUACUUCAGACAAAUACCAAAGAACUGGUGGAGCAUAGAAAUGACACGUGCUUCAACUUCAAUACAAGAUAAUAUGAGUCCUUAGGUCUUACAUCAUGUUCAUGAAAAUGAUGUACUUUUUGUCUCGUUUCUAAAUCGUAGUGUAUCUCUCCUUUGGACGUAUAGACAUACCUUUUACAAUAGCAAAGAAGCGAUCAGUAGGCCUGUAUUUUUUUGUUCUUGUUUUGGUGAUGUUGUUUUGUCACAUUUGCAAGCUCAACAAGUUGUAUGUGGCCAAAAGAUUCUGUAUCCUAUUUAAACAAUCUUUGUGAGAAUUGAUAGGCUUUGUCUGAUGCAAAGUGAGUGAUUGUGAGACUGAAAUGUGAAUUAUUUUUUUUUUCUGUAAAAAUCUACCAUAUGAUAAAUGAAUCCCAAACAAACAAACAAACAAGCAAAGAUGGUGGCACAAGUGGUAGCUGGUUUCCAUGAAACAUCCCCAAAGAAGCUGACGUAUCAUCAUAACAUUAUACAGAAUAGACAGUCCUGUGUGAUUCCUUAGGGAAGGAAACAGGUGAAUGUCAUUGUAAUACCACCGAAGAAGGACUUAAAAGUACAUACCCUCACCUGAAUUGGUGGCUGUCAUAAUGUUUUCUAAAAAUUACUACAUAAAUCUUGCUUUUUGAUGAUUUCCGAGAUUGAACUCAGCUGAGCUGAAGCCUUUAUUGCAUUGAAUCUCAGUGUGAGUCAAGGACCAAUGGACGUGAAUAAGAAUUAAAGAGAUGCAAGAAAACAGUCCUAAUAAAAAACCACAGCAUUUGGAUGCUACAGUUAGAUUGAAUCCUGAAUUGUCGUUGACGGGUUUCUCAAUCUUGUCAGUAAUGAUGGUCUCCCAUGGUGCCAGCAAACAGUGAGCAAUUUUCUGCAGUAGCUGCUGUGACUAGAUUGUAUCAAGAUGAAAUGUUGUCAGUGUUGUCAUGAGACAAAUAUACAAAAGUAUAUCCUUAGUUAAGUCCCUCUUGCAGAGGAAAACCACCUUUCUGAGUCUGACAAAGCACAGAACGUUCUUCGCAUGAAGAGUAACCUAACCUAGUGUGAACAUUUGUACACUGUAUUUUGUUAUGGCUAAUCCAUGCUUUCUGUACAUAAUUUAAAUCUGUAUUUUGUAACAGGGUUGCUGGUGAGAUAGGAGAGGAAAGUUUUUAAACUGGAUUUAUGGAGAAGCAUUGGUGUAAAUGACAGGUAUCUAGGCCAGAGAUACUGUUCUGUUAGAUCUACUGUAGUCUUUUGUCUGAGGCAUUUAGGAUGACAGAAGUUCAUAGCAAAGCGGCUCUGUAAUGGAAAUUUAACUAUUUUCAAUUAUAAUUAAAUGCGAUCUUAAUUGUGCCAAAGUCUGGAGGCAACGGGAAGUCAUCAAAUCCAAUUAAAUUUAAGCAGAAAUCUUGGGAAGGGUGCUAUUUAAGGUCUGUGUUCUUAUGGUUGCUUUUGUGGGUGGUGUAAGAGAUAUACUGGCAAGUACUGCAUACAAACCACUGACUGGAUGAACUGAGAAAAUCAGUACAUCAGAAUAUUUCUAUCUUUAUUAUUCAGAGGAGGAAAAGUUUUGAUAUUGAGAGGAUAAUGUCUAUAUGCGCUCAGGCACAGUUUAGAGAGAGUGGAAGUAAUAGCAUAUCCAGCAGCUCCACAUCCCUCAGACGCAUCAUCAGCUGAAAAUGACUUUUUCUUUUUAAAAGGUGCUUAUUCCUCAUUGUUGUGUAGCUGAGCACAGUCUGUAAUUCAUCACAUAACCCACUGCAGUACUUGAAUUGGAAAGUGACAACAGUGGCACCAGUUUUUAAAGUCUUUCUGGGAAGUUGGGAUUAAUAUUGGCCUGUGAUCUUUAUAGGUGUUAGUCUGCAACAGGCAAAUAUAAUUUUCAGGGAAAUGAAUAGAAACUGUGGUAAAAUAUAGUUAGUAGACACAUGGAUUAAAAUGAUUUACUGGAGAACAUACAUAGUGGCUUUUUUAAUGGGGUGUUUGAGUCACAAAGCCACUGGAAUUUUUGGAAGUUUUCAGUAAGUGUGUGGGCAAAACAGAGUGUCAGAGUUUCCAGAUGGCCUGCAACAAAUUCUUUUUCCAAAUGUUUUAAGGAAACUCAAUAACUAUAGGAUGGCUGCCUAUACAGUUCAUUGCAUGGAUAGCUAGUUGAGCAAAAGACAGAAAUGAAGUAUUAGGAAUAGUUAGUUCAUGUAGCAGUGGGUUCACUGUUGGGAUCUCAACUAGGACAAGGUUCAGCAUAAACGACCUAGGGAAGGUUUCACUAAGUCUGUUUAUGUGAUUAAAAUUCUUCCUUUGUAAGAAAGAGGGGCUUGAACAGAAGCUGGCAAAAUAAGGUUUGGAACAAAGAAACAGGACGGUCUUUUACCAGUCAUGGAAAUUCUUGACACAGAAAGAGACUUUUCCCUAGCUUCAGGUCUUAUGCUUUUUGACCAAAUUGCGAAAACGGGCCCUAAGAAUUGUUUCAAAGAUACUUCUUGCUUUGAUACAUCACAAAAUCUGGCUUGUAUUAGUAGUAGUAAGGGAUAACAAAUAGUAGUCUCUGGUUGGUAGAUGGAGGUUCUGUGUUUCACAGAGACUGUGCUGCUGCCAGUGCCUUUUGCAGCAGUUAUACAGAAGUACUGAAAAAUGUGUGACGUGUUCCUUCACUGGUACCAUUCAGAUACCAAAGAGGAAUCUCACAGCUAUGUUGUCCAACAUUAGAACAGAACCUGAGAGACUGAAGUUGAAGUGCUGGUAGGGAACAGCUGAAAGAACAGAAUUCUUUAAGUGGUAAAAGACAGAGUGCAUUUCUGGACUCCUGUUUUAAAGAUGAUGAUAUAAAAGAUAAAGUUAAAAACAAGAAAUAUACCAGCAAAGAUGGUUGGGUUUAUUAGAUGCCUGUGAGCAAAGAUAAAGAAUCUCAGAAGCUGCCUGACUUAUCAAGAGUUGCGCUAGCUCAGUUUAAGUUUUGUAGACUUGAGUGAAAUUUGAGCAACCUCUCAGAAUUCUAUCAAAAUAAAUACUUCCAAACAUGUUUUAGGAGCAUCUGAUUAACUAGAUUGAAAAAAACUUCAAAAAACUUAAUGGGCUUUUUUUCCCUCUGAUACGAAAAGAUGCAACAGAUUUAAAAGUGUACAACCUGGAGAGGAGCAAAAGAGCAGAGCCUCUUCUUUUUAUUUUGUCAAGUCAUUCCCACUUAAUUCAAUGGAAAUGAGUAAUUAAUCUUUUCAUAUGACACAGUGUGUCUACUCGCUGUUAGUGCAUGAAAUAAUUGUAUUUGUUGCGUAACUGCUUAUCAUUUUCUUCUAAGAUUGUUUUGAGUCCUUCAGUAAUUUAUGUUACAGCUUAGACAGGCAGUAAAUACAAACUCCAAUAAUCAGUUUGAGAUAAGUAUUUGGAGAGAGUUGUACAUGCUUAAGUGCUGUUUGUAUAUUCUUUAGGCUGCAGAUGUAUUGCAUAUGAAAAAAAUAGAGUAUAGAUGGUGGGAUCUUCUUUCAAUUCCUCCUUGAGAGAUAUAUACAUAUAAACACACACUCUAUACUUGUCUAUAUAUCCUACGUAUGUAUGUCUAUAUAUACUUAUAUACACUCCUUCUCUCUCUCCCUAUAUAUAUAUGCACACCCCUCCUUUUUUCUCUCAGGUAUAUUGCUAUAUUUUACCUGUUCAAGAUAUCUUCUUUGUACCAGUUGUAAAAAUGAUCUCCUUGCAUUACUUCCCUGUAUUGUAUCUGUAGCCUGGUCUCUCGUUUUUCUUCCUUUCUAACCCUUCUAUUCUUCGCAGUUGAGGAGCACAUGCAAUUUGUCCUUCUUCAGUGGACCCUCCAACUGAGAAUCCCUCUGCUUCAUCUUUCGUUUCAUUUUACUCUCUUUUCUGUUUCCCCUCUCUCGGCUAGUGACCAAGAAGGUAGCAUACAGAAAGCAAUGUUUAUCACAGGAGUGAAAACAAUAUUCCUCAUUCUUCUUUGCAAUUUUCACAUUUUGUAUUGCAGAUCUGUAUUAUGGAUCAUUCUAGAAAGCGCUGUUGUCCAUUUAGGUCUUCAAUAUGAGUAGAACAUUACUUCUGAGUUGUUAGGGCCAUACGUACAGCAGUAAGUGCUGUAGGGCCCAGCCACAGGGCAGAAAUGUUUUGACAUUCGUGGAAACAAUGUCUUAUUUCUUGGGCAAUAUGGUCUCAGCUGGAGUGGAAGGAAAAGUUCUCACAGUCUGAGAAGACUGUCUGCCAUGCCAGUUUCUUUCAGUUCCUCCAACUUUCACGAAGGGUUCUUUGUGCAAAAGGAGAAAUAGAUAGAAAUAGAUUAAAGUGCAAGAAAAACUUCGGAAUGGAUCUCAUACUUCUAAAUUCGACUUGAUUUAUAAGUAGUCAUCACUAUACUACAAGGGUUCCCCACCAACUCAUCUGCAUUUUUUUUGUUUGUUUAUUUUUUAAUAAAACUGCAAAGUUUUAUAACUUUUAAUAAGAAUGCAAACAGAAUCCUCUGUCACAGGCUGUUUGCCUUAUACAUUUUAGAUACCCGCAUCUUUUUAAAUGUAAAUGUAGCUAAUUAAAAAAGCAUACCUAAAUGGAUUAUUUCUUCCCGUGAUAAUGUUUCUUACUGAAAAUAACUUCAAAUUUUUGUAUGUUCUCCCAACACAGAAAUAAAACUAAAAAAGAUAGUUUGAAAAACAUUGCUAAUUUUUAUCUAACUGAACUGUGUAAUAUUUGAACUUGGUCAAUUAACUGAACUGUGUCAGGCAGCAUUUUGUUUCUCCUGAGUGGUCACUACAGAAUUGUCAAAUCAUGAAAUGUGAAUGAUAAGUGCUCGAUGGGUCCUGCAAGCACGUGGUGGCAUUCUCCCAAGUUCCCCUCACUGCUGCUUCCAAACUGGAAUGCCAUUCAGCAGGCACGAACAGGAAGACUGAAGUGCCAGGUGCUUGGGCUUACGGCACAUACCUACAGUUGAAACUUCAUGUCAGUGUAUAGAGAAGUGGCUGACUCCAGCUAUCCCUUUCUUUUUUUGAGGUUCAGCUCCGGUCAUUGCAACCUCAUCCAGGGAUACUCCAUUGAGGGAGCUGCUUAUCUGGUCAUCUUGCAGUCACUUUCUUAAUACACAACAUAUGUGGAUCUGUUCUGAAUCCUAACUAUUAUAAAGAGUUGUUCAUUUUUGGGUAGUGAAUGCCAAAUGCAUGUGAAAUACUCUCAUGUCAAUUUAACACUAUAGCAAGGUCAUUAUUUCUGCUUGUGUUAUAUAUAUAUAUCCGAGUCAUUGCUCACACCCAAGGAUUUCAUUAAUACUCCUUGUCAUAACAUCAUAUUGGGAGUUCCCAUUUUCUCUGAAUUUUUUUCAGUAUCACCAUUUACCAGCACUCAAACUCUCUUGGUGUUACUGUGGGCUGUAUUCUGGCUCCCUCUGUGUUUUUACUGUUCCACUAACAGAUUUCUCUGUAUUUCUUCUUUCUCCAUAUCACUGUUUACAAGUAGUCUUUGUAUAAAUUAAAAUAAUUACCAGUUUAGUAGUUAGCAAAUUUAUAAUCUCUAAAACACUCAAAGUAGGUACGGCUGCCAAGAAAUUCAUUAUGUAAACGCAAAUGUAGUGUUUAAUUAUAUUCCCACAAUAAACUAAAUUUUUUGUAAUUUUUUCCUAUAUCUCGCAUGAUAUUUAUACUGCUUAUAGUGCCUUCAUUUUAUACUAGAAUGUGAGCAUGUUCCCAAAUUUCUUAAGUAGUGGUUGAAAUACAUCUCCAGACAUCGUCUUAGAGCUUUUUAGGGAGGCAAGUAUUAAAUAAUAAAAUUAAAUAAAAUUAGUGUUGAUUUAGUGAUCCUUAUCCCUGGUCCAUGAUCAGUAUUUAUCUGCUGAUGUUACUCAUACAAUGAAGAAAUCGCAUGUGAUGAGAACCACAUUCUAUUUUUUUUUUUUUUUUUUGUAAAUUUAAGUAUAAUUUGAACACUUGAGCAUCAUAGAAAUGCUGAAACUACGCAGCAUGCCAAACUAUCAUUGAAGUUUUUAACACGGCUAGAGCUUCUCUUGUUGCUAAAUUUUAAAGCCUUUUUCAUAAUGAUUGCUUAUCUCUGCCUUCAAUGGUUUGAUUCUGGUUGGUCUUAGAUCUUAUCACCACGUUUCUAGCAACAUCCCACCCACUGGUAAUGAUAAAUAACUGAUUUCCCUUGCAUUUGCCAUUCUCCAAUCCAAAAUCUCUGGAGCAGAUUUAGCAUCAGCUACCAUCCUUGUGGAGGUGGGGAUAGAAAAGGAGAAAUAUCAACAAUCAAUGUGAUUCAUUCCGGACCCUUUGUAGUUGUGUUUGAGUAAAGGUAAUCUUUGCUUAUUUUCAGGCGGUAUAUUUCAGAAUUUGAUGUUAAUGUGUAAUUUUCUAAUUAAUUUUAAAUAUGUUUCUAAAAAUUAUUAGAGAAACAGCUCCCAUAAAUAAUCUCAGCUAAAAAAGUGUGAACUAAAAUUCCGCAGAACAACUCUAUUUAUCAGUUUAGGUGAAGAAAGCGUAUGUUGCUUUAGCGGAUGGUUGCAGUCUGACACAAUAUUGCAAGUAUCUUUUGAAACAAGGUCUUAUUACCUUAAACUUCAGAGUAGUUAAAUUGCUUCCACAUACGAACACUUUUCUUAACACCUAAACAGACAGACAUCAUGUCGUGAUUCAAAAAUCAUCUUGCUUUUUGCUGCCUCUGGAAGUCAGGUGUUGAUAUUUUCUAGGAAGCUGUUUGCUCUGUAGUUACUGUGCUGGAGCAAGGCUGAAAAUGUAUUACUGUGCAGCCUGCAGUUUUCAAGUAUGAAUGGAACACCCCACCAGCCUGCUGAGAUGAAUUUUCUGCACAGUCAUGUCCUUGAAUCACAAGCAAUCAGUGAAGCACAGUUGCAAGAGAUGAUUCUGGGAAAGAAACCUGGGGGAUAACUGUUUUCAGAGGAACAAAUGUCAGCAAGAAAACUGUAGCUCUGAUCCCACAGUUGGCUCCUGGUUAAUUCUUGAAAUUAGGUGUAUUGAACCAACCGCAGGACCUUGGUCUCAAAAAGGCAUAAGUCUGUCAUACCUAUUUUAAUCAUCAUAUUUAAAUCUUGAAUAGAACUUAUUUUAAGGAUCGUGAAUACUUUUAAAUAGAGCUGUUUUUUACUCAUGCCCAAAAGCUACAUCUCCUAGAAAACUAAAUAUAGAUUUAGGAGCUCCUCUUUAGGCACUCUUGUUAAGAAAAUUCUGAAUGCUCGUCUUGAAAAUACCCCUCCACUUUCUUGGAUAACAUGAACUAACAAAAAACUGAUUUAAAAGAGAAGAACAUAAGAGUUAACAUUCUAGGUAAAAAUGCAACACCUU